GAGGGGCGAUAGAGCCCAUAUUCUUUCACGAUAAAAAUCGACUUCUAAAGAAUAACAAACCUUACCAGGAUUCAACAAAAUAUAAUCUGUAUAUAUGUUUGUGGGUGCGGAGGCACGAUUUUGAAUUUCUGGGUUCUAGAUUUAGAAAAGGCAGCUUAUUGGGUUCUGAUUCUACUGAAUAAAUUAUUAAUUCAAAACUAAGUGGACUUUUAAACAGAAAUACACGGUUUGGGAUUGGGUUCUACUGAACUCGUAAACAGACCUGUAGCUCUGCCUGUGUGUGGGUGUAAUUAUGCAUUCCCUUCAACUGAUUGAAGAAAUUUCACAGUUGACCUGGCCAACGCAUCCAUUGGGUCGACACAUUUCUUCAGAAGAGGAUCAUCUGGAGGUAACAGAUCACGCAUGUCAUCUGAGGCAAUUAUGAUAGUGUUAACUGCCCUUACCAGAAGAACUUGUAGCGCGAUUCUGAACAAAUUUUGUGCCCCUUCAAUGUCCUUCCUGUUCAAGGCUUCUAACGAAGGGAUUACUGUGUGUUCCAUAGUGGCCUUAUCUGGCAGCACAACUUCAAAACCCUCAUUUUGAAGUUUCUCCUGAUAAAAACCAGCAGACAAAGUUGCAUCCGAAGCCAGAACUCCAAUGCGCAGAGUACUCCCAGCUUCAAGUGGUCGCAAAUUCGCUUCUUUGAGCUCCUUGGCCACACACUCACCCAUAUGAAGGAUGGGAACUGAAGACCCUAGUGCAACCUCAUGAUGCCAAGAAUGUGAUACAUAACAAGGCAUGACAAUGCAUCGAGCUCCAGAUUUCUCAAGAAAGAUCCUUUUAUGCCUAAGAUUUUCAACAAUUGGAGCAUGAUCUUUUAGUAAAUUUUCAUUUUUACCAGUGAGGUAAGAAAUAGAACCUCUUUCAUUCCAUGAAAGCUCUUUGUUAAGAACAGGAUCGGAACAAAGAACAAAGGGAAUGCUAUUUCCAC
rnacentral:misc_RNA from 1 species